UGGGGAAUCUUCCGCAAUGGGCGCAAGCCUGACGGAGCAAUGCCGCGUGAGUGAAGAAGGCCUUCGGGUUGUAAAACUCUGUCCUCAUCCAAGAGAAGGAAAGGUAGUAACUGACCCUUCCAGGACGGUAGAUGAGGAGGAAGCCCCGGCUAACUAUGUGCCAGCAGCCGCGGUAAAACAUAGGGGGCAAGCGUUGUCCGGAAUCACUGGGCGUAAAGGGCGCGCAGGCGGUCUGUUAAGUCAGAUGUGAAAGGUUAGGGCUCAACCCUGAACGUGCAUCUGAUACUGGCAGACUUGAGUAUGGAAGAGGUAAGUGGAAUUCCUAGUGUAGCGGUGAAAUGCGUAGAUAUUAGGAGGAACACCAGUGGCGAAGGCGACUUACUGGGCCAUAACUGACGCUGAGGCGCGAAAGCGUGGGGAGCAAACAGG
rnacentral:rRNA from 1 species